rnacentral:lncRNA from 1 species
AUGGGGUGGUCACCGGACUCUCGUGCCCUGCGCACACCCGGGCCCCCUUCAUUAGUGCCUUUCUUUGGGCCCUGCGUGGGGGCGAUGGUGACGGGACCAAGGGUCCUGACCUGGCAGCAGCAAUAUCCCCGCCCUCCUCCCCUUGUGCCCCCGGGUCGUGCCAGCCCCUGCCCCCUCUUCCUGUUUAUACCCCCAACCACCUAUUUAUUUAAUUUAUCUGCACCUCACCGUGUCCGUCUGUCACCACGUGCCCCUUCUCUGGGAUGUGGACAACCUCACGCCCCUUCUGUCCUUGGGUCGUCCUGGCUCCCUGGUGGCACGGUCAGCCUCGGCCUCGCCUCUGGCACCUGCCCCUGGCCGUGGCCGGCCCCGCCGGGUCCGAGCAGGGGCCCCCGACACCAGCAGCACUUGAUGGCGAGGAGGGGGGCGCCCAGGGUGAUGCGGCGAAGCCGUCCCCAGACUGUGGCUGCGCCCAGGGGUCUCCCCGCGGCUGGGUCCCGGCAUCCCCUCCGGACUUCUCGGGGGUCGGACCGUACCUUUCUCGGGCGCCCUGUCCCCAGCACCUGGGGAGCUAUGAGCGGGUUCGUGCCAGGGCCCCACGUGGGCCUGGGGGCUCUGGAAGUCUCCUUCUCCAGGCCCGAGCGCCCAGCUUCCUCGGCGUGGUGCCCGCUCAGCCCGGACCCCUCACCCCCGCUGCCCUGUCCUGCGCCCGCCCCGAGUGGCCGAGGCGGCAGUGCCUUACCCCUCUGUUCCCUCUUCCCCCUCCGAGGAAUCUGGCCCCGGCGCGUGGUCCCGGAAACCCAGCUGUCCCCUCUGUUUUGGCAUGAGCUUCUUUGUCGUUGUUCCUGGAACCUUGUUUCUGAAUUAAACGUCGGGAAAACGGUGGCAGUGUGUGGCAGGUGGGUGGUCGGCGAGCAGGGAGGCAGGUGGGGAGGCUGUUGGACUCUGGAGGAGCUGGGCUCCCUUUGUGGGAGGAAGGGUGACCCGUUGCACGGGUCCCGCGCAUCUGAGGAGGUCCAGGGCCACGUCCGAUCCGUGCCAGCAAACCCCGGUGGCUCUCCCGUCAAGAUCCGGUCGGAACCCGUUCCCUUCUCCCCACCUCCACUGGCCGCAGCCUGGGGGUCUCUCGCCUGCGUGCCAGUCUCCCCACUUCUGUCCUGCCUGCCCUCGUCCCCUUCCCAGCGCAGCAGGCACUGCGACUGUGGUGGUGGUUCCAAAACUAUGCAUUUGCCCAAACUCCUAGGCCUGUACACUCACAAAGGGGAAGGCUGA